rnacentral:rRNA from 1 species
UGCCAGCAGCCGCGGUAAUACGGAGGGGGCUAGCGUUGUUCGGAUUUACUGGGCGUAAAGAGUACGUAGGCGGAUUGCCAAGUCAGAUGUGAAAUCCCGGGGCUUAACCCCGGAACUGCAUUUGAAACUGGCAGUCUAGAGAUUAUUAGAGGUUGGUGGAAUUUCUUGUGUAGGGGUGAAAUCCGUAGAUAUAAGAAGGAAUAUCAAUAGCGAAGGCAGCCAACUGGGAUAAUACUGACGCUGAGGUACGAAAGCGUGGGGAGCAAACAGGAUUAGAUA